CAAUAGCGUAUAUUAAAGUUGUUGCAGUUAAAAAGCUCGUAGUUGGAUUUCUGGUUGAAGCGACCGGUCGGGCGUUGAUUCGUCUGCACUGGAGUCGGUUUUGGCCAUCCUCUAGGAAAGUGCGUCUGGUAUUAAGUUAUCGGGCGUAUGAUCCUGGUCUUUUACUGUGAAAAAAUUAGAGUGUUUAAAGCAGGCCUUCGCCUUGAAUACAUUAGCAUGGAAUAAUAAGAUAGGACCUUGGUCUAUUUUGUUGGUUUGCAGACCGAAGUAAUGAUUAAUAGGGAUAGUUGGGGGUAUUUAUAUUCCGAUGUCAGAGGUGAAAUUCUUAGAUUUUCGGAAGAUAAACUUAUGCGAAAGCAUUUACCAAGGAUGUUUUCAUUAA
rnacentral:rRNA from 1 species